UACGUAGGAUCCAAGCGUUAUCCGGAUUUAUUGGGCGUAAAGAGUUGCGUAGGCGGCUAAGUAAGCAAAUAGUGAAAGAACAUGGCUUAACCAUGUGGACAUUAUUUGAACUGCUUUGGCUAGAGAGCGGAAGAGGUAGCUGGAAUUAUUAGUGGAGGAGUAAUAUCCGUAGAUAUUAGUAAGAACACCAAUGGCGAAGGCAGGCUACUGGUCCGUUUCUGACGCUCAGGCACGAAAGCGUAGGUAGCAAACAGG
rnacentral:rRNA from 1 species